CCUACGGGAGGCAGCAGUGAGGAAUAUUGGUCAAUGGACGGAAGUCUGAACCAGCCAUGCCGCGUGCAUGAAGACGGCUCUAUGAUUUGUAAACUGCUUUUGUGCAAGGGUAAACCUGAAUACGUGUAUUCAGCUGAAUGUACUGUACGAAUAAGGAUCGGCUAACUCCGUUCCAUCAGCCGCGGUAAUACGGUGGGUCCAAUCGUUGACCGGAUUUUUUGGGUUUAAAGGGUACGUAGGCGGUUUGGUAAGUUAGAGGUGAAAUGUCCGAGCUUAACUCGGGAACUGCCUGUGAUACUGUUGAUCUAGAGAGUAGGUGCGGUAGGCGGAAUGUAAGGUGUAGCGGUGAAAUGCUUAGAGAUCAUACAGAACACCGAUGGCGAAGGCAGCUUCCCAGUCUAUAUCUGACGUUGAGGCACGAAAGCGUGGGGAGCAAACAGGAUUAGAUACCCGAGUAGUC
rnacentral:rRNA from 1 species